CGUGCUUAACACAUGCAAGUCGAACGAUGAUCCCAGCUUGCUGGGGGAUUAGUGGCGAACGGGUGAGUAACACGUGAGUAACCUGCCCUUGACUCUGGGAUAAGCCUGGGAAACUGGGUCUAAUACCGGAUACGACCAUCUGGCGCAUGUCAUGGUGGUGGAAAGCUUUUGUGGUUUUGGAUGGACUCGCGGCCUAUCAGCUUGUUGGUGGGGUAAUGGCCUACCAAGGCGACGACGGGUAGCCGGCCUGAGAGGGUGACCGGCCACACUGGGACUGAGACACGGCCCAGACUCCUACGGGAGGCAGCAGUGGGGAAUAUUGCACAAUGGGCGCAAGCCUGAUGCAGCGACGCCGCGUGAGGGAUGACGGCCUUCGGGUUGUAAACCUCUUUCAGUAGGGAAGAAGCGAAAGUGACGGUACCUGCAGAAGAAGCGCCGGCUAACUACGUGCCAGCAGCCGCGGUAAUACGUAGGGCGCAAGCGUUAUCCGGAAUUAUUGGGCGUAAAGAGCUCGUAGGCGGUUUGUCGCGUCUGCUGUGAAAGACCGGGGCUCAACUCCGGUUCUGCAGUGGGUACGGGCAGACUAGAGUGCAGUAGGGGAGACUGGAAUUCCUGGUGUAGCGGUGAAAUGCGCAGAUAUCAGGAGGAACACCGAUGGCGAAGGCAGGUCUCUGGGCUGUAACUGACGCUGAGGAGCGAAAGCAUGGGGAGCGAACAGGAUUAGAUACCCUGGUAGUCCAUGCCGUAAACGUUGGGCACUAGGUGUGGGGGACAUUCCACGUUUUCCGCGCCGUAGCUAACGCAUUAAGUGCCCCGCCUGGGGAGUACGGCC
rnacentral:rRNA from 1 species